UACGUAGGGUGCGAGCGUUGCCCGGAUUUAUUGGGCGUAAAGCGCGUGUAGGCGGCCCUGCAAGUCGGAUGUGAAAUCCCACGGCUCAACCGUGGAAGUGCAUUCGAAACUGCAGGGCUAGAGUCCUGGAGAGGAAGGUGGAAUGCUUGGUGUAGAGGUGAAAUUCGUAGAUAUCAAGCGGAACACCGGUGGCGAAGGCGGCCUUCUGGACAGUGACUGACGCUGAGACGCGAAAGCGUGGGGAGCAAACAGG
rnacentral:rRNA from 1 species